rnacentral:rRNA from 1 species
AGCGAACGCUGGCGGCAUGCCUAACACAUGCAAGUCUGACGGGCCUGGGGCUUGCUCCGGGUCAGUGGCGGACGGGUGAGGAACGCGUAGGAACGUAUCCAAGGGUGGGGGAUAACCGCGGGAAACGUGCGGCUAAUACCGCAUGGGGCCGUCAAGGGAGACCUGGGGGCCGAAAGGCUGAGGGAAACCUUGGUCGCCGAUGGAGCGGCCUGCGUCCGAUUAGCUAGUUGGUGGGGUGACGGCUUACCAAGGCUACGAUCGGUAGCUGGUCUGAGAGGAUGAUCAGCCACACUGGGACUGAGACACGGCCCAGACUCCUACGGGAGGCAGCAGUGGGGAGUAUUGGACAAUGGGCGAAAGCCUGA